GUAACGCGUGGGGAAUCUGCCUUUGAGCGGGGGACAACAUUUGGAAACGAAUGCUAAUACCGCAUAAAAACUUUAAACACAAGUUUAAGUUUGAAAGAUGCAAUUGCAUCACUCAAAGAUGAUCCCGCGUUGUAUUAGCUAGUUGGUGAGGUAAAGGCUCACCAAGGCGAUGAUACAUAGCCGACCUGAGAGGGUGAUCGGCCACAUUGGGACUGAGACAUGGCCCAAACUCCUACGGGAGGCAGCAUG
rnacentral:rRNA from 1 species